rnacentral:lncRNA from 1 species
GUUUUAUGUACACAUGUGUCUUUCUUUGUAUAGGGAUCAGGAUGAAGAGGAGGACCAUAUUGAUAACUUUGGUGGUGUCAAUUUAAAGGAGGAGACAGCUCAUUUUUUACCAGCAGCAUCAGACACACCCACAAAGAGCAUCAGUGAUGAAACCUUUUUAUCUACAGCAUUACUAUGAAAUAAAGUGGCAACUAUUGGUUCUCGUUAUGGUGUCACAGAGAUAACCGAAGAAUUUUUAACUUUCUUGUCUCAUGCAACUGAGGAGAGAAUAAGGAAUUUAGUAGAACAGGUAACUGUAAUCAGUCAACACAGAACUGAGCUACUGAAGGGUAACAGUUGCUAUGAGCCAGCUACUGAUGUGAGGGCUCAGCUGAAAGUGCUGGAGCGUAUUGAUGAAGUGAGUGCCACAAGGAAACAAGAAAGAGAGAAAGAAAAGAUUAUCCAUGCUGCGAAAAGUCGCUCAAAACAAGAUGACCCAGAGCUAGCCAAGAUGAAGGAACAAGCCAAGCAAAUCCAAAUAGCAGAGGAGAGAGAGAUACACCAGAAAGCAGCUAAUGUACAAGCACUGGCGGCUAUUGGAAGGAGAAAGAGAACAGCCACUACUGCUUUUGGAGGAGAGAGCUCUUCAGCAAGCUCUAGUGCUGGAAACGCUUCCAUAGCUUCUGUAUUUAACUCACCUUCGACUUCAAGAACUAACAGACCGAAACAGCGUAGGAUUUUAUCUAAAGAUAUCAUUAUGUCCAUGGAGCAAUGUCGUGAAACCAGACACUCACAAAUACUUUAUAAAUCACUCUUAUAAUUAAUGCCUGCAUUGUUUGUUUAAGUAAUAUUUAAUUUCAUUGGAUCUUGA